AGUCUCUCGCUGGUCAUGUGUAGGCAUCAUUGCUGGUGACUACACUCGGUUCGAGGCACAAGACUGGAGACGUUUCUUUUAUUUUUCUGUGUGUCGCUACCACUGAGUCGCUCAACACCUGACGUGCCUCAGUGCAUCGUCACUGCCAGACGCGAACUGCCGGGAAGCUCCACCCCCUUUAUUUAUAUACACACCAGAACAUGGUGUCCUUCCACACAAAGUAGGGCCAAACAUAAAGCAA